rnacentral:rRNA from 1 species
UGAAGAAMGCAGCCGAAAUGCGAUACCUAGUGUGAAUUGCAGAAUUCCGCGAAUCAUCGAGUUUUUGAACGCAAGUUGCGCCCGAGGCUCGUACCGAGGGCAUGUCUGUCUGAGCGUCCU